AUUGAACGCUGGCGGCAUGCUUUACACAUGCAAGUCGAACGGUAACAGGCCGCAAGGUGCUGACGAGUGGCGAACGGGUGAGUAAUGCAUCGGAACGUGCCCAGUCGUGGGGGAUAACUACUCGAAAGAGUAGCUAAUACCGCAUACGAUCUAUGGAUGAAAGCGGGGGACCGUAAGGCCUCGCGCGAUUGGAGCGGCCGAUGUCAGAUUAGGUAGUUGGUGGGGUAAAGGCUCACCAAGCCAACGAUCUGUAGCUGGUCUGAGAGGACGACCAGCCACACUGGGACUGAGACACGGCCCAGACUCCUACGGGAGGCAGCAGAGGGGAAUUUUGGACAAUGGGCGCAAGCCUGAUCCAGCAAUGCCGCGUGCAGGAAGAAGGCCUUCGGGUUGUAAACUGCUUUUGUACGGAACGAAACGGCUCUGGUUAAUACCCGGGGCUAAUGACGGUACCGUAAGAAUAAGCACCGGCUAACUACGUG
rnacentral:rRNA from 1 species